UCCCAUAUGGUCUAGUGGCUAGGAUACCUGGCUUUCACCCAAGAGGCUCGGGUUCGAUUCCCGGUAUGGGAA
rnacentral:tRNA from 1 species